AAAUAACAUGAAAUAUAAUACAAAGAAUGUUUGUCUUUUUAAAAUGUUGCACAGAUAUUUCUGUUCAUUCUUUUAUACAUAGAAACAUUUGUACAAAGGGAUGGCUAUGGAAGGGCACUGUCCUGCUUGUAGAUAUGGUCACACAGUUGUUUUACAUAUGUACAUGCCAUACAGAACACGUAACAGCAGCUAAGGGCGGGCAGGGGAUGGACGGAGGUGUUAUCACACACACGCACACAGACACAUACAAACAACACACACAUACACAUCCACUGUUCAGAUCAGAGAGAAUCCUUAUCUACUGUAGCGAUAAAAUACACUCAGACACUCGCUUUAUCUAGAGAGGUGUGAUAUAUCCCCACCAGUGUUAGAAGAUAGCAUUGGAAGAGCUGUGGGAUAGUGUUGUUAAUUUUCAUCUUCUACCUUACAGAGCAGAAUACGCUCUGAAGAAGCCAGCAUGGUAUUCUCUCUCUCUACCUCUCUCUCUCUCCAUCUUUUUCAUUAUCUCUACAGCUCUCUCUCUUUUUCUCACUCCCUCUACAUCUCUCUCUCUCUACUUCUACCUCUCUCUCUCCCUCUCCUUUCUCUCUAUCCUGUUUCAGUUUGAAUGAAUAACACACAUCCUGAGAUUUCACAUUAGGACUAGGAACUAGGAAGCUUGGAGUUAUGCAUCAUCACCUACUGUAUGAUAAGCAGACAGGUGGUAGUUAGUUACAGUUCUGUAUGAUAAGCUGACAGGUGGUAGUUAGUUACAGUUCUGUAUGAUAAGCAGACAGGUGGUAGUUAGUUACAGUUCUGUAUGAUAAGCAGACAGGUGGUAGUUAGAUACAGUUCUGUAUGAUAAGCAGACAGGUGGUAGUUAGUUACAGUUCUGUAUGAUAAGCAGACAGGUGGUAGUUAGAUACAGUUCUGUAUGAUAAGCAGACAGGUGGUAGUUAGUUACAGUUCUCUAUGAUAAGCAGAAGGGUGGUAGUUAGUUACAGUUCUCUAUGAUAAGCAGAAGGGUGGUAGUUAGUUACAGAUACAGUUGAAGUCAGAAGUUUACAUACACUUAGGUUGGAGUCAUUAAAACUCGUUUUUCAACCACCCCACAAAUUUCUUGUUAACAAACUAUAGUUUUUGGCAAGUCGGUUAGGACAUCUACUUUGUGCAUGACACAAAUAAUUUUGUUUACAGACAGAUUAUUUCACUUAUAAUUCACUGUAUCACAAUUCAGAAGUCAGAAGUUUACAUACACUAAGUUGACUGUGUCUAUUAACAGCUUGGAAAAUUCCAGAAAGAAGCUUCUGAUAGGCUAAUUGACAUAAUUUGAGUCAAUUGGAGGUGUACCUGUGGAUGUAUUUCAAGGCCUACCUUCAAACUCAGUGCCUUUGCUUGACAUAAUGGGGAAAUCAAAAUAAAUAAGCCAAGACCUCAGAAAAAAAUGUAGACCUCCACAAGUCUGGUUCAUCCUUGGGAGCAAAUUCCAAAUGCCUGAAGGUACCACGUUCAUCUGUAUAAACAAUAGUACACAAGUAUAACACCAUGGGACCACGCAGCUGUCAUACCGCUCAGGAAGGAGACGCGUUC
ensembl:lncRNA